rnacentral:lncRNA from 1 species
UCAUGUUCUUAUUAUAGUUUCACCUAAUUUCCUAUAAAUCGCAUUUUUGCCUCAAUAAUAAUAGAACUAAGCAAUGAAUAAUUUCAAUUUUCCAUUAAAAUCUAAAAUCUUGGAGCUGACAGAGUCCUUAAAAGAUAGAGGUUCAAUUUCCUUAAGUUUUAUUCAAUUUCUUCAGUUUUUUCAUAUUGUAUUUCCGAAUGUGUUUAUUGGACUUCUUAGGUUCUAAUUCAUGUGAUUUUCAGGAUGCAGAUGCAUCAGCUAAGAAAGCUGAGGCAGCUAGGAAACGUGCCAAAGAUGUAGCAGCCAGAACCGUGCAAAUGAACGGACAGGAGCUUUUCUUACAUGAACCUUGGGUGUUUGAUAACUCUCAAUAUUAAGGUUAGUUUCAAUGAGAGACCAUGUAUAUUAUUUUAAGGUUCUGCCUCUCAAGUUUCAAGUCUUGUUGCUUCAAUAGAAGGAAGAAUUAGUCCUACGGCAAGAAACAAGUAUUUCUAGGUUUUCGGUUCUAACAUUGAUAGUGUAUCUUUAAGUCAUUUUACAUUUUCCCCUUUGUUUAGUAUGCUAACUUUGUUGAUACUUAAACUACUGGGAUCAUUUGAUUAUUUAAUUGACACAGCUUUUGAUUGUUAUGUUUAUAGAUUGUGGUUUUGUAAUAUUGUAUUUUGGAUUGUCAUUCCUAGCUUUUAUACAAAGUAAAUUAUGAAAAAUGAUCUUUGUGUAUUCGAAGGAAUUUCUAGUAACAACUUUCCUCUGGAUCCAAUGCUAAUUCAGCAAGCAAUUUUUGUAGUUCCUUAAUUCUUACUUAAAAUGUGGAAUGGCUUUUAGUAAGUAUAUCAAAGGCAAUUCAACUAUCAUCAAAUGUCUAACAGAUCUAAGUUAGUUUCAAAGAAAUCUCAUCUUCAGUUUCUUGUUUAGCUAAAGUAUGAUGGCAUCCAUAUACACACACAAAAACAGGUGGUAGAUGAAUGAGGUUAGAAAUCAAGAUUGGACUGAUUGGGAGCUAGCAUGUGUGAUAGCAGGUGAUUCUAGGAUUUAGGGAAAUAAAGAAGAGGUGAUGGAAUAUAUGCGUUCUAAGAUUCAGGACAAGAAGGAAGAAGUGGUGAAAAAUAUUUUAUUAUGCUAUAUCUUUUUUCUUCUACACCUAUCAGAAUUUCUUAUUCUCAAAACCUAAUUCACGAAACAAAACAAUCUGAGGAAUCAGGCAGAAACAUUAUCUCAUAUUCUUACAGCAUUGGGUGAUACAAUUGUGUAUAAAAACUUGGAUUGUAUAUCGUGUCUGGUUUUAAUAAGAGAAUAUGCACUUAAGUGCAAUGGUAUUGUAAUGUGAAUAAAGAGUAUUCUACACCUUAGUAAUAUGAGAAGCUUGGUAUACCCAAUAUUCCUGAAAUUUAAACUAGGUGAGUUCUUGAUCUGUUUAGUACCAAUUACCAUGUCAGUCCUUCAGAGGUCUCUUCUUGUGGGGUCUUCAGGAGUAGUUAACUAGCCUGCCAAACACUCCAGCAGCCCCCCAUUCCUGGCAUGAUAGCUUGUUAAUUUUCUUUUUCAAUGUUGUAUCUAGUAAGUUAGCGAAAAUGCUUUAUUUCCGGGGAACCCAAAUUAGAGUGGAGAACCUUUGGUUGAAUGGCUAGACAAAGCAGCUCUUGAAUUUUGGUUAAGUGGUAAAAGGUACUCGGGCUUCGAAUCUGUUGGAAGGUUGUGAAAAAGUAAUUUCCCAU